GAUAUGUUUACAAAUUCAACAUUUUAUUAAAUUGAUAUUACAUUCAAGGGCCCAUCAAAUUUCUUGGAAAUGCAUAGUAUGAAAAGAUCACACAAGGAUUUCCAAAAUCUGUGGCCCUUAAAUAAACUUAUUUUUAAUUUCAUUUCCAUGAAUUUUUAAGUGCCCUGAUACAUGAAAAACUAAGCUGUGAAUCAAAGGACAGCCUUUUUACACAGAGUGAAUUGUUGGUGUUUAUUGUGUAAUAGAUCAGAAAUAGAAAUAUGUUUUCUAAAUUUUACAUUUGUAUCCCAUCUGUUUACUGCCAGUAAAUGAUACUUGCUUUGCUCCAGAUUUUCAAUUUCAAGGAACUUAUAUUUCUACAUAAAGAAUUUCUACAUAAAGAUAAGGUUCCAGGGGUGACGUGGUCAGCAAUAGGACUGACUCCAAUGGCAGCAGCAGACUUUAAUAUAGCACUCGUUCCUUGUCUCUGGAGGAUAUGACACUGCUAUCAAUGCAGUUUCCAGUGGUAACGAGGACAGGAAUUGCCAGCAGAGAGGCUUCUUCCAAGUCCUCCUCUGACAUCAGCCCUCAGAUGAACUCCAGGAUUAACCAUGAAGGAGAAGAGAAACAGCAUGCAAAAGCAGGUCGACUUUAUCCAUAAAUAAGGAAACAGGAUUGAUCAAGCUCCAGAACCAGCAACCUCUGUCACAAUUUACUCCAUGAACACCAUCUACCUGCUUCAUUCUUCAGUUCCAUGAAUAUUGAAAAUUCACCCCUUCACCAGGGAGAAAACCUAAAACAUUUAGUAGUGAAGUCAACCAUGGCCCAGGAACUCCAGGAGAAUGUGAAAUAAUCUCUGCCACAUAGUUGGAAUACAGUUCACCUUGGCCUGAUCAAUCUAUGAUCUAAUGAGCCUUCAACCUUAGUCUUACCAACAUACUAUUGUGUAUAAGGAAAUGAUGAACAUCAUGAAAUCUUUUAAGCUGAAAAGAGAUGUGAAGAUUUUUUAGCAAUCGCAAGUAAUCGUUGGACUCUUGUGGUGCAAACAUGAGGUCCCCACCUUGGUAGUGGGGGUACUAUGUCAGUAAGUUAUUUAUGUUCUUUGAGAAUAGCUCUCUUUUCAUUUUUUCUCAAACCUGGUCUUGUCCUUUAAGGAGGUGAGUGAGACUUCUUUGACCACAUCUGAAAUGUGUUGCAUGAUGUAGAUCUUUUUAACACAAGUGUUUUUGAAGCUAGAUUCAUGGGUACUUCAGCUAUAUAAAUCCCCUCAGAACAUAAUGGGGUUUGUAAUCUACUUUUCCUCAGUCAGUUCUUUGUGCCCAUAACCAUAUGCCACUAUUUCAAGGGCCAUGUUUCUUAAAUCUGCACCAUUUCCUUGCAUAAUUUCCCAGUAUUUAUUGCUCUUGAUUAAUGUCUGCUAUCGAUAGCCUAUCUACUUUGAGAUGAAAGACUUAAAAGUCCAGGUUUUAAUAGACCUUUGUUGUUUUCUCAAACUUGUUUUCUUCUCCUUUUAUUUAAAACACAAAUUUUCUGAGACUUCAAUACCACAAAUUCUUAGAAUCCUUUCUCCUCUGGAUUACUUUAUUUUACUAUGUCUAAUACCUUUAAAUUCACUUCUUUUUUUUUUUAUUUAUUUAUUUGACAGGUAGAGUUACAGACAGUGAGGGAGAGAGAGAGACAGAGAGAAAAGUCUUCCUUCCGUUGGUUCACUCCCCAAAUGGCCACUUGGGCCGGGGCUGUGCCUAUCUGAAGCCAGGAUCCGGGUUCUUCUUCCUGGUCUCCCAUGCAGGUGCAGGGGCCCAAGCACUUGAGCCAUCCUCCACUGCCUUCCCGGGCCACAGCAGAGAGCUGGACUGGAAGAGGAGCAACCUGGACUAGAACCUGGCGCCCAUAUGGGUUGCCGGUGCCGCAGGAGGAUUAUGAGCCAUGGUGCCAGCCUCUAAAUUCACUUCUAUAUUUAUAACACAUAUUAAAAUUUUCAUUCUUUUCAAUUACUUGCCCUAGAGCACUUGGCAUGAACUUCCUUCCAUGUCAUGGUAGGUUAUGGGAUUACCAAUGGUUUUGUGCCACUGUUAUGGAUCAUCAGCUUUAUACAAGAACUCUUUGGGACAAAGUCAGCUUAGGGAUUGCUCUUCUUCCAAUCUGAUAUUUCAUCCACAAUUAUCUGUCUCAGGGAAAGACACAAAGCAUUCACUAAAAUACCCAAGAACAAACUCAGGGAAUCUUAACUCUUACUGCUCUUACAUACCAACUCUUAUUAAUCAUAAAGACCAUUUUAUCAUACUUGAAUAUUUCUUGAAACUACUUACUUCCUUUAUCUUCGCUGUAGCUUCCUCCUAACUGGAAGGAUUAAGUUCUGACUCCACUGCUCAAAAAACAUUCAAAUAAGAGCACAUUCUUGUUCCUCAAAAUUCCUCCUAUUAACCCCAAGAUAAAUUAAAAAUGUUCAGUAAAGUAUUUAAAUUAUUUUUAUUUGUCCAGACUGCACUACUUGCAUCCAUAGUUAUUAUUCCCAAAAUUGCAUCCCAACCAUGGGCCAACUCCAGAGGCUGAGUUUUCUCUUUUUCUUUUGUUCCCAUAACACUGUCUAUCCCUCCAUAUUUCUACAGUUUCUUUUUAUUUUUCUCUUGUUGUCUCCCCAAUAAAACUUGAUCUUUGAGGACAUCUGCAAUGUUUUAUUUUUUCCUUUAAUCGCUAGUCUUUGAUAUAUUCCAAGGCACAGUAGAGGCACUUGUUUACCACUUGAUGAAUGAAGGAGUGGAAGCAUAUAUUAGAUAAUAAGCAGCCUCCAUCCACCUCCAUCAUUCAUACAAGUAGUUCAGAGAGCACUGAAUAUCUUUCUAAUGCAGGGUUCUUUACAAGAAUCUACCAAUGGCCCAGAUGCACUACUGUCUAAUGCACAUCUUGUCCGGAGACAAGAUUUAGGCAUCUCAAAAUCUCAAGAAUAUUUUAAGUAUAUAUUAAAUCUUGUAUCAUUAUAUCAGUGCAUAACAAUAUAUUUAUGGGAAUAAGAACUUCAUGGAAGAAUCUGCUAGCAGCAGUAGAGAGACAUUUUUGUCAUUAUUCAAUUAUGUUAAAGAAAAGGGAAAAUAGAUAAGACUCCAGUACCCAAAAACCAAAGGUUUACCUACUUUCU